rnacentral:tRNA from 1 species
GGGGCCGUAGCUCAGUUGGGAGAGCGCAGCGUUCGCAACGCUGAGGUCAGGGGUUCAAUUCCCCUCGGCUCCACUA